UCACUUCUACUCUGCGCCCUCCCCAGCGCCGUGUUUUUUCCUCGCUUUCGCCGUCUUGCCAGACGGCGAAAAGCAUGUCUGAGGCGUACGGUGAGGUAGAGAAGCGGCUUGAAUAGCAAUCGCACCACCACCACGUGGCGCACGUCGCUUUGUGAGACAUGCGCAGCAUGAUGCCAUCGAGAGAGUAGCGGGCCCGCGGCGGAGAGAUGGCGCUGCUCACAUGACACAAGCACAAGCUGCAGACAAACACCUGCAUCAGGAAGCUGCCGGUGGCCGUCGCGUCGGGUGCGGACAAACUGAGGGACAUUACCCAGGAGAACCUUUGCGGGAUGCUACGGCACCCACCUGUCCGUGUCAGCACUGCCGGUUGUGUUUGUGCCCUGCAAGGCCAAGCUCUCGACGGAGAAGAAGGUCUCAUGGGCAAGUGUACACACGCAGAACAACUUUGUGCUCCAUGAGCCGGGCCUGAAUCAGUGCUUCAAGGGUGCGGGUGAGGCGGCUCGCUACGGAAGCACCAUCUUUGAGCGUGACCAGGUACCGUCCCAUCUUCCACCUGUGCGAGAGCGGCAUGUCGAUGGAGCACAUGGAUGCCAUACGCAAGGAAAGCAAGGUAUGCUUGCCACCGCUUCUCAAGGGCUUCCUUGCAGCCGCACAGGAACUGCUCGCGGAUACGGUGCCGCUGUGUAGGCCGGCGCUGGUUGUGCAGCAGGAGCUGUUCGGUGAGCUCAUGCUGCGAAUGCGGGGAGGGGUCUAGGCAGACCCCUCCCCGCACCCUUACGCCGGCAGGGCGUGAGAAGAAACGCGCACCAGCACAAACUGAGGCACCGCCGCGUGCGCGAAGACAAUGCGUAUGAUGAUGCGCGAGUCAGGGCACUCACUCUAAAGACGUAACCUUUGGCCCUACUGGCGCAAGCGUGGGCAGCUCAUCGCCAUGGUCUGCUCCCCGGGUCAUUCACGAAGGGCAGUCACGCGUGCCCUGGAUGGUUCACGGUCGAUCCGGCACCUUAGUCGCGUACGUGGCGCCAGUGCUGCCGUCUCUAAGAGCGCGAUGGCAUAGACUUUGUUCUUGCCGGGAAUGUGCGCCACGUGUACCAGCACGUGCAGGCUGGGGUGCUUCCUCACAUACACGCUAGAGCCCAUGUACACGGCGUAGCGGAUAGCGAGGGACCAUCGCGAGCUCAGCGAAGGCGAGGUAGACGAGGCGAUUUGCGCUGUCCAGCUGCUGUCUGUCCUGAGCCAGCAGAACGAGAAAUUUUGGUACAAUGGGAGCCGCGACAGAACGGAGGAGCUUAUUCUGCGAGGCUCACCAGUGAGACGCUGAAUUCGCCUUACUUGGAAGGGUUCAUGCGACCGCCGCUGCCCAUCCAGCGAGGAUUGAGUGCAAGAGUUGAUGGUUGGUCUCUUCUCGUGCUGUGCGAUGUUGUGCUCCUCUCUCCUCGGCUAUUUUUCGAGUGCACAGGGGCAGAAGGCCCUCUGGCGAUGCACAGUGGGCAGCCCUCGUGGGCUGGGGUGCAGGGCGCGAGUGUGUGCUUCUCCAGAGAGCGGUGCCAUGAACAAUACGUCUUGCUCUUUGUUGGAUAUCGAUGUAUCGCCGUGCCGCCGCCUUUCUCCCCACAUCUCCCCACUGUGGGUAUGACAGGAAUCGGAAUUACGACGAGGCGCGGCGGCGACUCAAAGCAGCCGUUGCGCUUCUUCUUCUUCCUUUUUUGGGGUCUGAUGUCGGUGGUGUCGUCCUUUUUCUGGUGCACUUCUUUCUCUGUGACCAGGUGUAUCUGUUUGUACG